rnacentral:rRNA from 1 species
UUAAGAAUCUUGCACAAUGGGCGCAACCCUGAUCCAGCCAUGCCGCGUGAAUGAUGAAGGCCUUCGGGUUGUAAAGUUCUUUUGGUAGGGACGAUGAUGACGGUACCUACAGAAUAAGCUCCGGCUAACUUCGUGCCAGCAGCCGCGGUAAUACGAAGGGAGCUAGCGUUGUUCGGAAUUACUGGGCGUAAAGGGCGCGUAGGCGGUUUAGAUAGUCAGAUGUGAAAGCCCAAGGCUCAACCUUGGAAUUGCGUUUGAUACUGCUAUUCUUGAAUUCGGGAGAGGUGAGUGGAAUUCCCAGUGUAGAGGUGAAAUUCGUAGAGAUUGGGAAGAACACCGGUGGCGAAGGCGGCUCACUGGACCGAUAUUGACGCUGAGGCGCGAAAGUGUGGGGAGCAAACA